AUGUUCCUUUCUCAUUGCCAUUUGCCAUCACAACGACUCAUCUUCCUCCCAAGUCACGACCCCAAACCCCAGAAGCCCGCUGGUUUUCCUCAGUAAAUUGAAGUGAUGCUGAAUUAUUUGAAGAUUACUGUUACUGGAAUGAAGAUGAGAAAGACCUCCCAUGCGACCUGUGACAUGACUGCAAUGGUUCCCAGAAGCUGGAUCAUUGAGAAAGCUGCCAAAAACAAUCUUUGUGCCAUUUCCAAGUCCAAUAAUACACUUUGGUCAGAUGAUGCCUGCAUAAGAAAGUUUUCAUUGAAGCAAUGAGAGAGAAAAGCAGCAGAGUCUUUCACAUCAACAUCUGGGAUCUCAUCCUGCUCAAGUGGCUUCUCUUUCCCCAUGACAAACAAUGGGUUGAGCCAUGAGAAGAAUGCUGUUGGAGUGGAUCAAGGUUUAUUCGAACUGUACCAUCAAACAUUGUUGGAUCCUGUGGAAUGAUGCUGAGCCUUGAUCUCAAGUCAUGAAGACCU